ACGAUUCCCAGAGUGGUUUAACUGGAUACUCUGGGAACUGGGAAGGCUAUAGAUGCUCCCCAUCCUUGCUUUGAUCUGUACAUCAUGUUGGAGAGUCACUGGCAGUGUCUGGGGUGGACUGUGGGCAGCAGUGUGAGGAGAGCAGUGAGCAGGGUCGAGGAGCAAACCAGAAGCCAGAAUGUGGCAGGGAUUAGGAAGACUUUGGCAGUGAAGCUCAACUUGAACAGGAAGUCCUCUCAUACUCCUACCUGUCCUGGGGGUGCAAGGGCUGUUUUGGGUGGGAGAAGUCAGACCAGGGUCUGGAGGUUCUCCACUGAGAAGGCUCCUUCCUGAAGUUUGAAGGCUCGCCACACAAGGGGAGCUGCACACAGAUCCUGCGACUCCUGACAAGACCAGAGUUCUGAAUCCAUAUCAGGCAAGUGCUUAUCUGCAUAUAAUGCCCAUCCCAACUGAGCCCGAACUAAGAACGUGGCUCAUUUCAGAAGGAGCUCAAAAGCACUGCUGAAAUUCAUGGUUUGGUCUGACACACACACCCUACAAGCCAGUCACCUGCACAUUUGUUCUCACCCUCUGGAGUAAUGUCCAAAGCCACCCUCGGUUUCAUGCGUCAAGCAUCACCCAGUCAUCCAUGACCCUUAGUUCCCACUGCCUCAAGUAAAAGCAGAAAACAAGCCACAGAAAGAUGCCCUGCUUCUCGGCUGCAUCAGAAAGGCCUGUCUGUUUCCAGACAUGUGGUGGGACAGCUCUCAGCAGCAGAGUGUUUACAGAACACACAGCCAAGUUCAGAAGGUUCACCAAUCCCCAUGUCUCUGUAAUUACCUUGUUUUCUACAGGAUGGCCAGAUGUUGAAUGAAAAUGAGUACACAUUCCAGCAUGUCUAUUUCCAUCUUGGCAUCACCACGGGAGUCAGCAAAACAUAGCAGUGUUAGAAAACAGCCUCAGUUAAAAGUCAUCGAGUUUGCCGACACCAUCAGGAGAAGGCUCUGAGCUCGCCAUCAUCAGUGGAUUCAGCAAAUGGGUUGGUGUGACUUUCCUUCUUUCAGUGACUCCAUAGUUCCUCAUCCACUUUUCUCCUAGGAUUUUGGGGUUCCGAAUGACUUGGUGCAGUUCUAAAGAAGACCCUCUGUGUCUGGAAUUCUCUGCUUACCAUUACAGUUGGGAUUUCUGGAUUUUAUGCAAAGCACUGCCCAUUGAGAGUUUACUUGCAGUUGUCAGGUCCUUCAGUUUAUUUGCAUCCCUCCAUGCAUACUUGCACAGAUAUUUGUCACAUGUACAGUAUAUGCACAUUUAUUUAUUUUUUUCAAGAAAAUACUGCAAAUAGGCGGUCUUAGUGUGAGCACAUCAUCAUUCUUUUUGUGCUGUAUUGCACAAUACAAAGCCAUACUUGUGUGCAUUAGUAAAGGUAAAGGGACCCCUGACCAUUAGGUCCAGUCGUGGCUGACUCUGGGGUUGCAGCGCUCAUCUCGCUUUAUUGGCCGAGGGAGGCGGCGUACGGCUUCCGGGUAAUGUGGCCACCAUGACUAAGCCGCUUCUGGCAAACCAGAGGAGCGCACGGAAACGCCAUUUACCUUCCCGCCAGAGUGGUACCUAUUUAUCUACUUGCACUUUGGCGUGCUUUCAAACUGCUAGGUUGGCAGGAGCAGGGACCGAGCAAUGGGAGCUCACCCCAUCGCGGGGAUUUGAACUGCCGAUCUUCUGAUCGGCAAGUCCUAGGCUCUGUGGUUUAACCCACAGCGCCACCUGCAUCCCUGUGCGCAUUAAUAGCACACCACAAAUUUAGCCAGCCUGGUGAAAUCAUACAUUGUUGGGUGCUAUAGUCAUCGAAUCAGUGCUAUUUUUCUAUUAAAAAAAAGAGGUGCCAGAACUCACCAUGAACAUCUCCCUUGUUCUCUUAUAAUGGCAAUGGCACCAACCUGACAAAUGCCAGAACGGAGUUCCGGCUGGGGGAAAAAGCCCUGCAUAGAACCAUAGAAUUGUAGAUUCGGUUCCUGAGGGUUAUCUGGUCCAACCCCCUGCAAUGCAGGAAUCUCAGCUAAAGCAUCCAUGACAGAUGGCCACCCAACCUCUGCUCAAGGAAGUUGAGGCCACCACCUUUUGAGGGAGUCAAACAGCCCUUACUACCAGAAAGUCCACACUGGUGACUAAUGCUAAGCUUGCGGUCUACUAAGACCCCUAGAUUCUUCUCAUAUGUACUACUGGCAAGCCAGAUGUCCCACAUCUUAUAAAUGUGCAGCUGUUAAGGUCUGUUAAGGUCAUUUUGAAUCUCAAUACUACCUUCUGCAGCAUUAGCUACCCCUCCCAGUUUGGUAUCAUCUGCAAAUUUGAUGAGCAUCUCCUCAAUUCCUCUAUCCAAAUCAUUUAUGAAGGGGUUAAACAACAGCAGGCCCAGGACAGAACCCUGCAGCAUCCUACUUGUCUCCCCCCCCCCCCCCAAGAUGAUGAGGAACAAUUACUGAGCACUCUUUGGGUUUGGUCAGUCAACCAGCUACAAAUCCACCUAACAGUUACCUCAUCCAGCCCACAUUUUACCCCCAUCUUCUCCACAAGAAUAUAAUGGGAGUCUUUGUCAAAAGCCUUACUGAAAUCAAGAUGCACUAUGUCCACAGCAUUCCCCUGAUCCACCAAGCUUGUAAUGCUAGAAAAAAGAAAUGAGAUUUGUCUGGCAUGUCCUACUUUUGAGAAACCCAUGCUGGCUGUUAGUAAUCACAGCAUCCUUUUCUAAGUGCUCAUAGACUGACUGCUUAAUUAUCUGUUCUAGGAACUUUCCUGAUAUUGCUAUAAAUAAAUAAAUUAAUUAAAAUGCAAACCAAACCAGAUUUCUUCCCCAUCACCACACCCUUGGGGAGUUUGUCAAAGUUUCCCUUCUCCUUGGAUUAUUUUCAAUCGCCAUUUCUUUCAACCAUUUCUUUGGGGAAAUGAUUGAGGAAAAACAAGGAGGGUAUUUCCAACACAGAACCGAAAUAAGAUCAACAUACACCACCUCUGAGCUCCUUAGAGGAAGGGUGGGAUUAGAAAUAUAAAUACAAUCAUUCUGAAACGUAUCUUUGGCCUUGCUAUUCCUGCCUCUGCGGGUUAAUAUCAGCUUCUUAAACCUUGUAAUGAUUCUUUUUCCCCAGUUAGCCGGGAGAAGGAGAGGUCAGACUUGCACCUGCAAAGCGUAGGCAGAAUAACCUAUGCAGGUGAAAUAAACAUGGGGAAUAAGAAUGCAAACUGGCUCCAGAAAUGCAUGUCCCCCGGAAACGCCGCUUUGAAUGUAAGAUGUUUUAAACCUUUAUCAUUACCAGGGACAACAGAAGCCCUAAUACCACUCCAUCUCCAGCUUCUCCAUUCCUACCCAGCCUCUUUGAGGUUCUUUUCACAGUGAUAUCCAAAACCCAGAGAUACAAUCAUCGUAUGAGCAUAAUAUGAGCAAUUUUGAGAGUCAUGUACAGAAUGAAACACUGUCCAGAGUCUUCUACACAAAAGAUGUGUUCUCUCUCUCUCUCUCUCUCUCUCUCUCUCUCUCUGCUAGGAGUGCCCACUGUUCAACAGGUUUCUCUUUUAAUUUCCCAAAGAGAGGGCAAGAAGUAGCCCCUGUUCUGAUCUUGGUGGCAUGGUCAUUUGUAAAGGGUGCUGAGCAGUGCUAUUCUUCUAGAAAAAGAGGGUGUCGGAACACCUGAGAGAUGCCGGAAUUGAGUUCCGGUGAGUUCCAGCUGAAAAAAAGCCCUGGUGCUGAGAGUUGUUAGGAGACCCCCUAGCCCCUCAGAGAGCUACAAUUCCAGAGUAGUGUAUCGUUCGAUCCUUCUCAGGAGUGGGGUACCUUUCCCCACCAAGUCUUACGAUAGGCUCACCCUUCUCUGCAGUCACUGUCCAUGCAGUGGCAGAGCUUCAUGCUACGGCAUCGGGGGGCGGAGAGCAGGUGGAGGUGGGACAGGCGUGUGUCCUGGGGUGUGGCACAUGUCUUGGGGGCAUGGCGCGCUGCCUGCGGGGGCAUGGCACCCAGCAGGGGCGGGGGGCAGCUGCGAUGACACCCCACUGGGAUCGCGCUGCCGGGGGCGGUGCGCUCCCCCCCCCACUCCUCUUCCUCCGCCAGUGUGCCCAUGCUCACAAAGUCUAAAGGAGCAGUGAUAAAACUAAAAAAAUCUGAAGGACCUCCUAAAUCAGAAGGAAAAGGCAGUAUCGCUAUCCCCCUGAAGGCUUGCCUGAAUAAAAACCUGUCUAGAAUAGGACAUGUCACCACUAUCCAUUAUGUAUGUCUUUAUAAGCAAUCCUUAGUCCUUAUUAGAAAUGCAGUGCAUUUCACCAUAGUGGGGAAAGAGUGUGAGCAAGUAGCCAGCUCAAUCUGCUGCCUAAGUGAUGUUUUGUUGUUGUUUAGUCGUUUAGUUGUGUCUGACUCUUCAUGACCCCAUGGACCAGAGCACGCCAGGCACUCCUGUCUUCCACUGCCUCCCGCAGUUUGGUCAAACUCAUGCUGGUAGCUUCGAGAACACUGUCCAACCAUCUCAUCCUCCGUUGUCCCCUUCUCCUUGUGCCCUCCAUCUUUCCCAACCUCAGGGUCUUUUCCAGGGAGUCUUCUCUUCUCAUGAGGUGGCCAAAGUAUUGGAGCCUCAGCUUCACGAUCUGUCCUUCCAGUGAACACUCAGGGCUGAUUUCCUUCAGAAUGGAUAGGUCUGAUCUUCUUGCAGUCUAUGGGACUCUCAAGAGUCUCCUCCAGCACCAUAAUUCAAAAGCAUCAAUUCUUCGGCGAUCAGCCUUCUUUAUGGUCCAGCUCUCACUUCCAUACAUCACUACUGGGAAAACCAUAGCUUUAACUAUAUGGACCUUUGUUGGCAAGGUGAUGUCUAUGCUUUAUUGAUGGGCAACUUCAAGGCUUCUCCUGCUCUUGCUUCUUAGGGUUCUUCAUCCUUAACCUCAGUGUGGACCAGGCAGUCCUUUAACUAGAAGGAGGUGCACUGUAAUAUAGGACACAACGGACACUCUUCUUUGGAAUAGGAUGGAUCCUGCUCUCUCUGUGUGUGUUCAGGACCUAGGGUCUCAGUCCCAGAAGGUAAAAACCCUUUUAGCAAAACACCCACUCAAGAAAGCAGAGUGCAAUUUGCUGUGUAGUCUCAACAGGCUAAGGUCAAGCGGGUGAAAUCAGCCUAGGUCCAAAAUGUUAUCCAGAGGCAUGGUCAGGCAAUAGUCCACUGUAAAUAGCACAGAGGGUUUAGACAAGGUACAAGGAGGGUUAAUUGGGAUUAAGAGAACUGUGUUGUCUCCAGCAAAGGGGAGGCUCAAGAGGGUGACCUUAUAGACCAUAGUCUAAUACCUGAUCGGAAGGUCGGCAGUUCAAAUCCGUGCAACGGGGUGAGCUCCUGUUGCUCUGUCCCAGCUUCUGCCAACCUAGCAAGUAGAUAAAUAAACUGCAUUGUUCUUAUGUUCUUUGUAUACUGUGUUAGUUUUAUGAUGUUAGCUGCCCUGAGCCCAGCUCCGGCCAGGGAGGGCAGGGUACAAAUAAAAAUUUAUUAUUAUUAUUACCCCUGCAGCAGGAAGAUAAAUGGCGUUUCUGUGCACUCUAGUUUCGGGCACGGUGUUCUGUUGCGGUUUAGUCAUGCUGGCCACGUGACCCGGAAAGCUGUCUGUAGACAAACACCAGCUCCCUCAGCCUGAAGCGAAGAUGAGCUCCGCACCCCAUAUUCGCCUUUGACUGGACUUAACCGUCCAGGGGUCCUUCACCUUUUUACCUAAUACGUGCUGUUGGUCUUAAGGGGUUCUGGGGCUUGCUUACUCAUGUGUGGACCCCUUACCUAAAUGUGGACUCAGUGGUGGCCACCAGUCUCCAUGGCUUCUAUCAUAACAUUAGAAGUUAUGAAAAUCCAGUGAAGCUGAAUUUGCUUUGACAGGAGGUUGUGAUGCCUCUAAGAAAGGAUUAGCCAAACUCAUAAAGGAGAGGGCUAUUGAUGGCUACUAUCCAUUAUGUCUAUGCUAACCUCCACAGCUGGAGGCAGUAAUGCUUCUGAAUACCAGUUGAUGAGGACCACAAGAGGAGAAAGUGCUCUUCUGCUUAAAUCCAGAACAGGAUGCUGGACUAGACUGGCCAUUGACCUGAUCCAGCAAACAGUGUGGUAUAGUGGUUAAGAGCAGUAGACUCCUGGUGAACUGGGUUCACAUCUCCGCUCCUCCACAUGCAGCUGCUGGGUGACCUUGGGCUAGUCACACUUCUCUGAAGUCUCUCAGCCUCACUCACCUCACACAGUGUUUGUUGUGGGGGAGGAAGGGAAAGGAGAAUGUUAGCCGCUUUGAGACUCCUUCGAGUAGUGAUAAAGCAGGAUAUCAAAUCCAAACUCCUCCUCCUCUUCUUCUUCUUCUUCUUCUUCUUCUUCUUCUUCUUCUUCACCACACAAGCCAUGUGACAACUCUGAGUCAUGCUAUGUCACUCUUUGGCCUGGUCCCAAGCCUUUCGGUGCUGACGUUCUCAAGGACCACAAGGUGGCCCCACCUCCUCCAGAGGUUCUCCAGCACGUCUCCCACCAGAAGAAGAUGCUCACCAUUUGCCCCAGGGGACUGCCUGCUCCUCAAGGAACUGCAGAGUGCCUUCUUUGUCCUCAGAGGACUCAUGGUGUCUGGCAGCAGGUUGUGACAUGAGGGGAAGGAGAAACAGAAGCAAGUUGAAGGAGACCCACAAUAUACCACAUUUCGUUAGCAAUGUAGGCAAACAAAUAUUCUAUGGAGGUUUGCCCUGCGUCUGGGGUAUAGAACAGCAGCUCUUUGCUAAUAGCAUUAUAAAGGAUCACGGCAGGGGGAAAGAGCAUUAGCAAUAUAAAGGGGGGGGCACAAAAGAAUUAUCGGCAGUAAGGUGUGUUUCCUCCCCUCCCUUCCAAGAAUAACAUAAUGAAAAGGGUUCAGACAAAGCCGCUAAGGCGCCAUUUCAAGCAUAUAUAUUAUAAAUCAGCAGCGCCCUAAGGCGUCAUGUUUAUAUAGACACUUAAAUUUAAAAUAAGAACACUCAGUCUUCAUUGCAAUGAACAGAGAUUCAAUUACUUUGAGCUUUACAGUCUGCAUAAUAUACAGCAUAACUCUACGUUUUUGUCCCCAAGGUAUCUCUCACUUGCAAGUCAUUUAAAUCACCUAGCAAACAAAACAAAUUAAAGGAUUCCAAAAAAGGAAAAAAAAGUCUAGGAAAAUUAGUCCUUUAUCUUUGAUAUGACUUGCAAAAAAGAACAACCUUCCAUAAAUACUCCGUAUCGCAUAGCUUUCGACAUUAUGCCCUCCCUGCUGCCGCCACCCCUCCCUUCCUUCAUUGUCUCUCUAGACAAAGGCAGGAAACUUUUUAUUGCUAAAGCUGUUUGAUGAGUCGAUUUUAAUACCCUUAUUGCUAUCUAGGUGGAAGUAUGUGUGGAGGUGGGGGAGGGGGCUGCCUGAUGAAAUCUGAAGUAGAACGCAGCAAACGUUAUGGCUGCCAUUUGCAAGCGCUUCGGAAGCGUCUUUUUCCGGGUGCUUCUGGGAAAUCGCUAUUUUUAGGUGGGCUUUGAGGUAAAGGUAAAGGACCCCUGACAGUUAAGUCCAGUCACGAACGACUCAGGGGUUGCGGUGCUCAUCUCGUUUUACUGGCCGAGGGAGCCAACGUUUGUCCGCAGACAGUCUUUCUGGGUCGUGUGGCCAGCAUGACCAAGUUGCUUGUGGCAAAACCAGAGCAGCGCAAGGAAACACCGUUUACCUUCCCGCCGGAGCGGUACCUAUGAGACCACCUCUCCUGGUAUGUCCCACAGAGGAACUUACAGUCUUCAAACAAAAACAUCCUGAAGGUCCCAGGCCACAGAGAGGUUAGGCUGGCCUCAGGGCUUUUUCGGCUGCGGCUCCAAUCUGGUGGAACGCUCUGUCACUAGAGACUAGGACCCUGUGGGAGUUGACAUCUUUCCGCAGGGCCUGCAAGACAGAGCUGUUCCACCAGGCCUUUGGUCAGGGUGCAGCCUGACUUCCUCCUUUGGCAACCUGCACAGAACUUUAGCCUAAUGGUUGCCAUCAAUUUGAUUUGAAUUAAAUUUUAUAAUGAAAUGUUUUUAGAAUGUUGUACUAUUUUAUUGUUGUUAGCCGCCCUGAGCCUGGCUUCGGCUGGGGAGGGCGGGAUAUAAAUAAAAAUUAUUAUUAUUAUUAUUAUUAUUAUUAUUACCUAUUUAUCUACUUGCACUUUGACGUGCUUUUGAACUGCUAGGUUGGCAGGAGUUGGAACCAAACAACGGGAGCUCACUCCGUACGCCAACCUUCUGAUCGGCAAGCCCUAGGGUCAGUGGUUUAGACCACAGUGCCACCCGCGUCCCUCAGGUGGGCUUAGAUCAGGUUAAAGCAGGAUGGCACCACUUUCAACAGAAUUCUGGGAGCCACAUUUUGUUAAGCAAGCUGAGGGUUGCUGGGAGGCCCCUAACCCCCUCACAGUGCUACACGGGGUGCCAACCAGGCCCCAGCACUGUGGGUGCCCAGCACCCCCACCCCAUGUUAUGGCAGUGAGGUCUGACAACAUCAUGACAUCACGCAGCAACAUCAUAGCGACAGAGGCGCCAAGUUGGGCCCAACAUUGGGGGGGUCGCUUGUGCAUGAUGUCACACGCACAAUGCCUGUCCCCCACCCAGGCCGACUCGGCCCAUCAUCUCCCCCACAACUGCCUUACAAAAUUGCGGGGCGAAGAUCCUUGUAUCUGCACUUCCCUGGUGGGGCUCGCCAGAAUGCCUUCUAGGAUGGCGCUCUGGCGAUCGCCAAUGGGAUGUGCGGGGCGAAGGCCCUUUGCCCUGCCACGUCCCUGGCGAUCCUCAAAAGGAUGAGACAGUGCCAAACAUCUUCAUCCUGGCGUGUCCUUUUGAGGACUGCCAUGGAAAUUUGUGGGGGCCCAGCCCCCUUCUUGAAAAUAUUGUGAGGGGCCUGGCCCCCACAGGGGCCCCCUAUAGAUGACGCCCCUGGUGCUACAAUUGGCAGAGUGGUUUAACAAUCAAUCCCAGGGAACUCUGGGAAUUGUAGUUCUGUGAGGGAAGUGGGAGCCUCCUAGCAACCUUCAGCACCCUUAACACAAUGCAGCUCCAUAAUUCUUUGGGGGAAGCCAUGACUAGUUAAAACUGGCAUUGUAGUGUUUUAAAUUUGGGGUGUGGAUGCUGCCCAGGCCUCACUUACCAGACCAGUUAGAGCCAAUGUUUUAUUUUAUUUUUAUUAUAUUUUGUAUACCACUCUAUACCCACAGGUCUCAGGGCGGUUCACAACAUAAAAUCACGAUAUAAAAAUGCAGAAUACAUACCGUAUUUUUUGCUCUAUAAGACUCACUUUUUCCCUCCUAAAAAGUAAGGGGAAAUGUGUGUGCGUCUUAUGGAGCGAAUGCAGGCUGCACAGCUAUCCCAGAAGCCAGAACAGCAAGAGGAAUUGCUGCUUUCACUGCGCAGCGAUCCCUCUUGCUGUUCUGGCUUCUGAGAUUCAGAAUAUUUUCUUUCAUAUUUUCCUCCUCCAAAAACUAGGUGCGUCUUGUGGUCUGGUGUGUCUUAUAGAGCGAAAAAUACGAUAAUAAAUAUAAAAACCAGGACAACCUAAUAAUUCCACCCCAGUUCUAAUGAUGUGCCCCAAUUCAUUCGUGGCUUCUGGGAAAUGGAGUCCACCAUCGAGAGGGCCACAGGCUCCUCUCCCUGUUCGAACGAGCUGUCUUCAUGCUCUCCCUGAGGGUCACAACAAGUUCUUUCUGCAGAUGUGGAAUAUUCUCUGCCUCGGCCGUCUCAUCCCGCACCCCCCCUUGCCAACGAAAACCUCCAUUCCUCCUCCUUGAUCGUAUCACAGGAGCUCUUGUGUCAUGACUUGCAAAUGUAUUUUUGAAAGCCUGUUCCUGGGCCGCAAGAAGGGGAGAAACAGCUGCACGUUUGUGUAGGGUUGUUGUUUUUAAGUUAUCUAAAGAUUUGCAAACAAGAAGGGCAUUUAAAAGAUGCACGCCCCGUGCCUUGCAAAAGGUUGAUUGGCUCAAAAGUCACCAUCCUUCUCAACUCAUCAAGGGAAAUAUGACCUCUCUGCCCUGGCUUUUGAUGCUCAAAGUGUGUGUUUUUUAGGUUCCAACUUGUUUUUGUAAUUAUAAGUUGUUUAAAACUGUUUUUAAUAUUGUGCUGUAAUGUUGUGUUUUAAUGUGGAAACCUGCUCUGGGACUUUAGGGUUAAUGGUGAAUAAUAAUAAUAAUAAUAAUAAUAAUAAUAAUAAUAAUAAUAAUAAUAAUUCUGUCUUUCCUCUAACAGCAUGCUGAAUAGGUUGUCUGUUAUGAAAGGAAAGGGGGCAAGAGCAAAACCAGGGAUACAAAGUCUUUUUCAAUCCAAGGGCCACAUUCCCUUCUCAGGAGCUUUCCGAGGGCCACACGCCAGUGGGGGUGGGGCCAGAGGCAAAAGUGGGUGGAGCCAUUUCUACACACGUCAUUCUCUGUCCUACACCCAGACAAGCAAGAGGUAUUACCAGGGUUCAAGGGCACAUUCCAGCCAGGUAAGAGCACUCAGGUGGCACAGCAAGGGCAAUGAGCGGAUGUGUGGCUGGGGAGAAUCCUGAGGGCCAAAGAGAGAGACCCACAGGCCACAUUUGGCCCCUGGACCUGAAGUUCAGCACCCCUGCCCUAGUCUACAAAAACUGAUUUGUUCUUCAGUUAUCUAAAUGUUCGAUUUUAGCUCAUUAACCUCUCAUUCUUGUGGCCCACGUAAUAAAAACAAACCACACCUCCUUGUCAUUUAAUUCCCAAACAUUAUUAAAUAUUUAGGUGAUAUAUCCUGCAUUAUUAUUUUUAAAAAUAAAAAACUUGGUUUUUCUUUCUAAUGAAUUUUUUCUGCUGGUCAGGUGAGACUCGGAUGUCUUUUGAAAGAAAGCAGCUCGGAGAGUGCAAUGAUAAAAUGUUUAAUAAAAUUUACAACAUUUUGUUCAGAUAAAAGUUAGAAGAGAGCAGAUUUAUGAGGGAUGUUUGGCUCAGAGCAACAAUAAAUGUCAGCUCAAUAAAGGGUUCUUUUUCUUAACGCAGACCAAAAAAAAGAAGAUCCCGACGCACAAAGUACUGCAAUAAAGCAUUGAGGGAGAAGCACCAGCAUACUAAAAAUAAAAAUAAAAAUCAAGUUAAUGCAACAAGGGGUGUAUUCGAAGAAGAACACCAGCGCAAUGGAAAUGGGCAUUGCAAAGGGACCUUUCUGGAAGGCAUGGUGCUUAAUUCAGUGUUUUGUAGUCACAGGGCAUCAGCCACCAUUGCGUUUUAUGCUGUCACCCGGACCAAAAAUAUCUGCCACCUGAGAUGGCCACCCCAUUCUGUCUAAUGGUAGGGCUGGCCCUGGGGGAAUAGUCACAUUCCCCCACCCCUGGAGAAAACAAUACUUAGGGCUGGGUAAUUUGAUUGCGGAAAAGUUAAGAGAAUGUGAGUUCCUUUGGCAAAAGAAGAUCAGAGUCAAUAAGUAUGAAAUGACUUUAAAAAAAAAAAUAGAUUUCAGCACAGCAAGAGAUGUCUCAUUGGAUUUCUGGGCUGAAAUUAUUUCAUUAAUCUUCAAAAUUUUAUACACCAGACACAGAGGCCAACUGCUCCAGAGGUCGUCAGUCUGAUAAUUGUUGAUUUAUGAACACAGUCUUUGAUGAACAGGGUGUGCGUGUGUGUGGUUUGGUGUGUGUGUUUUUUUCCUGGGCAAAUAAGAUUUACUGGAUGUAUCCAGGCCAGAACAUUAAUAAAGAUCAGAUUAGAUGGUUCUGCUUUUUCAACUAGAUUACAAUCUGCCACCACACAGAACAUCCCCAUAGAUAGAGUCUAUCUAUUUUGUAGCCUGCUAUCCUAGACAUCCAAUGGAUUAUAUGUCAUAAAGAACAGUCCGCAAUGCCAUUAAAUAAAUGAGUAGAGAUUGGGCAAUAGAGGUGACCUCUGAUCCGUCCUCUUUCAGUGGGGAAAUGCUAUAGUAUGGCAAGAAGGUAAGGCUUGUAAAGCAGGGAACUUUGCCACCAACCCCCCAAAAAGCAGGCGAAAUUAAUGAAAGCUGGCAAUCAUGCUUUAGAAGGAACAAACUCAUUUAAAAACUUUAGGGAAACCUCACUUCUAAGGUUUCUUAAGGUUUCAGGGCCCUUGCAGAAAAGAGACGAGGGGCAUCAACGGAGCUGUUCUGAGGUAAUCAGCUAGUCGCUCACAAUGGUGGCUGCUCCCUGCCUCAACUCUCCCACUGGGCAUGUGCAGACUUCAUAAAGGAAUAUGCAGCAGUGUCUUGCAAGAGAGUGUAGCUGGGGGGGCAGAGGGACUGUGGCCCUGGGUGCACAUUUUUGAGGGGACACAAUCAGGUGCCCCAAUGGCAGGCAUGGAGCCCUGGCAGCUGAGGCACGGAGGCAGGUGGGUUGGUCUAGUGGGUGGGUGGAUCAAGGCAGCGGGCGAGGAGCUUGUUGGAGGUGGGUUCUGUUCACCAUCCACACAGGUUCCCCACCCAUACCCCCACCCCAGUUGCCCGGUCUACCUGGAGGGCAAAACACUAAGCCUGCCCCGGGCACCAGCAACCCAUGCUACACCACUGGCUUACACAAGCAAAUCUGGAUGAGCGCUUGGUGCAUACCCUCUAAGUGUCCCUAUUUUCCAGGGACAGUCCCAAAAUUACACAAGCCUUCUGAUUUGAUUUGGAAUGUCCCUGUUUUCUCCACGAGUGAAGUAAAGCUUGGGGAAGAUGAUGAGCCAGCGCUUGUCCUGAGAGGUGGCGGUGGCAGUGGUGGCUGCAAGGGAGCAUGGCUGCUGCUGCUGGCCUCCUCCCUUGGGCAGCUCGUAGGGGCUGCUGGAGAGCGGGUGAGCAGGAGGGGAGGCUGCCACGGCCAAGGCCCAGCCCCACAUGACAUGCCAGCUCUGAGGGGCAGACAGAGGGAUUGCUUUGUGCAUCCGCAUCUAUUCUUGCUCCUUUCUAAAAUUUAUUUAUUGGUGUGUGUUUUGUAAAUCUAUCAAAGAAAAUAAAAUAAAACCGGGAAUUAGGGGUUUUCUCAGGACAGUGGAGGGUGUGUGUGCUGUGUCCCAUUAUUGCCGUGGUGGCGGCACUUGCCCGGCGGGAAAUGCCCGGGGACAAAAAAUGGGGGUCAAGGAAGGUCAGUUGUGGGGGAGUGAGAAAUGUCCCUAUUUUCAUCUGAGGAAUGUUGGAGGGUAUGUUGAUGUAGAGGUCACCCAGAGGAGCUCUCCAAAGCCCCUUCUGUUCUCAUGUUUUAAAGUCCUUUGUCUAUAAAUCAGAUUUGGACCAGACAGUUCUUCAAGCAGAAGAUGGUUUCAGGGGACUGUCAUCUUAACAGCGCUGCAAAUAGUGGAAUGUCCUCUACAGAGUAGGUCAGAAACCAGAAAACGGGGACAGUUUUAUAUCUGGCUUGGUAAAAGAAUGAAUGGGGAGAUUGGAAUAUAUAUAAAUCCGAACGCCAUGCUGUAGCAUGAAUAAUGUGAGCACUCUUUGACAGUGUAUAGCAGUAGAGUGUCAGUUCCCUGGUGCUAAGAGGUAGUACUUCAAAAGUCCUUCAGUCGGGCAGACUUUAGAAAGAGAAACAGUCUUUGCUGGCAGAUGGAUUUUGAGGGUCGUGGCUCUCUGACACUGUAGGCGAGGGAAGACAGAUAGACACUUCACAUUGCAGGGGGAGGAAGUGCCGGUAGGAUAGCUGCCAAGGCUCUUCUCUACCCAGAGUGCCUGGUUUGGGUAAAAUGUCUAAGUAAGGACUGAGAAGAGGAGGGAGGAAGCGCCAAAAUAAAAAGCCGUGCGAAAACAGGAAAGGAACGCUCCCUCUUAGCUUCUAAAAUAAGAUCCUACCACAAUAAGUUCAUUGUAGCUCCAUGGCUGCAUUGUUGCUCCAAAAAGCAAAACAACAACGAUGAACUGCAGGGCUGCAAGAUGGUUCUAAAGUGAUGAGUAGGGUUGCCAGGACAGGAGCAUCCCAGACCCUGAGAUUUCAGGGCCCAAACCUGAGACCCAGGAGCGCCCCCUGGUGAUAUCAUAGAGUAGGCCCUGGAGAUGGAGGUUAAUUGGGAGAGGGGGACUGAGGAGGGCAGACAGCCCCCCUCCAAAUAUCUGUGCUAUAUUUUGCAACCGUCUCUUGCUGGGCUGAAGCUUGCAAGCUGCAUGCACAAUUUUCUUAAUUUAUUAUUAUUAUUAUUAUUAUUAUUAUUAUUAUUAGCAUUAUUAUUAGGACUCUCACCCACCUGGAAUUCGAGCCCUCUACCUGCCACCUGGAGAGUGCAGGCAGACCUGGAGGAUCGUCAACCCUAGUGACAAGAACAAACAAGCUCUCUAGCCUGAGACAAAGGCCCAGUUCAGCCGUACGAAGGUAUCUUGGCUUAUUGAGAGAUGCACGAGCCUCAUGCCUCCAUGCUUAUGUCAUCGUAUUGCUACUUUAUUUAUUACCAUUAAGGUCCCAGGGUGGGUUGCAGCAAUACAGACAUACAGUUUAAAAUUGGACGGGACAAUUCAAAACUAAUCCAUGCAAAAUAAGAAACCAGCAUGGUUUGAAUCAGAAAAUAGAGGGAAAUUUAAAAACCUGGUGGAGGGGUCCCAAACAAUAGCCGAUCAGCAGCAGCGUCACUGCUGCAGACAGGAGAGGAAAAGCAGCUGGGAAGUUGAGAUUGGGUGGAUCCAAACUGGUGAUCUUGCUGGUGUGUCUAUACAGUGCUAAAUGGCAUUAUCAGAAUUCAAGGACAUAGCUCAGAUAAGCAAAAACAUUUGGGGUGCAAAGAAAAGCCAGUGAGGGGUUGGGUUUUGGGAGAGAAGGGGUGAACUGGGGAGGGUUUUGAGGGUCAGACAGAGAGGUUUGCUGGGCCAGAUCCUGCUCUUGGGCCUGCAGUUCCCCACCCCUGUAAGAAGAGCUUGAUCUGACCCAAAUCAUAUCUAGUCCAGCAUCCCAUUCUCAGUCAGAUGCCUCUGCUAAGCCCACAAGCAGGACACAUCGCAGCCGAUGCCAUUUCUCAUAUAUACAAGUCAGCGGGCCAUAUUUUCCCUGAAACAAUGGCAUCACAUACAGCUGGGAUAGCUCAGUCAGUAGACCAUGAGCAUCUUAAUCUCAGGGUUGUGGGUUCGAGCCCCACAUUGGGCAAAAAUCCCUGCAUGGAAAGGGGUUGAACGAGAUGACCUUCCUGGUCCCUUAUGAUCACGUCACUGCUGUUGGGACAGCUGAGCCAUGUUCAGUCUUAGAUGGAAGGGAUUAAAGGUGUGAGGGGGAGUUGCUAUUCUCCCAAUUGCUUCUCAGAGCAAUCCUGUUACGAAAAUUGCAACCUGGAAAACAUUGGUACAAAUUGGUACACACUUUAAAAGGAAAUAAUGUUCAGUAUCUCUGCAUCCUUUCAGCCUGGCCCAGGUAGCCAGCUGGGAUAGUUUAUUUAUUUGCUUGCAAUCUCCACACACGAGUCAGUAAUUUGCAUGUUUAUCUGAACCUACGAAAUCCUCCAUGCUCCUGCUUAAUGAGUUCACAUCAGGAUAUCUGCUGUCAAGCCUAAACUCUUGAGCACUUGAGCAUUUGUUUUUUUAAAAAGAGCUCUCUCAUGAUCCUUUAAUCCUGUUGGCUUUUUUUCAUAUUAUAAAACACUUAGUGCUCAUUGUGCCUUAUUUGCUGUACUGACCAUCACUAGACUUUCUUGCUUUGAAAUUUAUUUAUUCAUUCAUUCAUUCAUUUAUAAAAAGUCCACUUUCAUCAAUCCUGUCCUGUGGUUCAGUGCCACAGAAGAUUUCCUUAACACCAUCUAGGGAUAUAUGAUGUAUUCUCUGUGAAACAAACUUUUUAGGGACUUAAGGUGCUGGAGGAUAAUUUCCCGUGAGGUGCCAUGACCCGAGAGUCCAGCAGUGAUCAAGACUCAGAAUCAGAGGGUGCAAGGUCACCAGAUAAGGAGAUGGACCAGGUUCUGGGCUCUACUGUUGGAGAUCAGGAGAUGAUGAUGAUGAUGAUGAUGAUGAUACAGUGGAACCUCUACUUACCACCAUAAUCCAUUCUGGCGGCCCGUCCUUUGGGCGAAAUGGAUCGUUGGUAGAAGCGCUGUUGUGCACAUGUGCAGACAGUGGCAGCCACUUCUGCACAUGCACAAAUCACAGCAAACCCAGUAUUUACUUCCGCGACUAGGAUCGGGCCCAAGUAGAGGCGGUCGUAAUUAGAGGUUCUACUGUAAUAAUAAGAAUUAUAAUUUAUUGUUUAUACCCCGCCCAUCUGGCUGGGUUGCCCAGCCACUCUGGGCAGCUCCCCACAGAAUAUUAAAAACAUGAUACAACAUCAAACAUUAAAAACUGCCUUCAGAUGCCUCCCAAAAGUCAGAUAGUUGCUAUUUUAUGCUUGUCUGUGAACGUAAUAAGUUAUAUAUAGAUAGAUUAAUUUCAAUUGAUCAGCCUUUUGCCUGAUCCUUUGAAGCAGAGGUGGGCAGGGGUUGAACCUGGGUCCUUCUGCAUGCCAAGCAGGUGUCCACUUCCCCCAUCCAGAUACGAAGCACUGCUUUGUAGGUGCCUAUGGAACUCGUCUGGAUCAAAACUCAGCUCUUCAUUUGGACUGACAUAAGGACAUAGGAAUAUAGGGGUAGGUGAAUCUGUCAUUUUCAGUUCCUCUCUGUUUUUCCAUUUCCCCCCACUCCAGGGUCUCAAGUGCAUUUCUGCAUCAGCUUGCAACUUUUUAAAACUAAAAGCUGUCAUGAAACCCCACUAGCCUUUUGUUGUGAAUUUCUCCUAAUAUACAUACCCUUGUAAGCAACUGCCUAAUAUGCACAUUUUUUUCAAAACCGCAUUUCCCCUAAUAUUUAUUUUCCCCCUAAUGUAAGGAAUUUUAUGUUAUUCACACUAAUAUAUGCAUCAUUCUGGACCAUUUACCCCAAUAAAUGUAGUUUUGUAUGCAUUAGUUGACUGGAGAACAGCAAUGCAAAACUCUGAGAAGUGCAAAUUUUAAAGGAAGGCUGCGUUUUGGUUCUUGUAUCGUUUCAGAAAGUGCACAUGAGAGAGAUUGACCUGUAAAUGUGAUCUGAAUUGAAUUGCUCCGUCAUCCCUAAUUGAAUCUGUCCAUCUUGCUUAACAACAACAACAACAAAAUAGGAAGUUGCCCUAUAGAGGCUCAGGCUUAUCGGACCAUGUGGCCACCAAGACCACAUAACACUGGUCCUGAAAGACCUACAUUGGCUCCCAGUAUGUUUCCGAGCACAAUUCUAAGUGUUGGUGCUGACCUUUAAAGCCCUAAAUGGCCUCGGCCCAGUAUACCUGAAGGAGUGGCUCCACCCCCAUCGUUCAGCCUGGACAUUGAGGUCCAGCGCCAAGGGCCUUCAGGCGGUUACCUCACUCUGAGAAGUGAGGUUACAAGGAACCAGGCAGAGGGCCUUCUUGGUAGUGGCACCCUCCCUGUGGAACACCCUCCCAUCAGAUGUCAAGGAAAUAAACAAUCUGACUUUUAGAAGACAUCUGAAGGCAGCCCUGUUUAGGGAAGUUUUUAAUGUUUGAUGUUUUAUCAUGUUUUUAAUAUUCUGUUGGAAGCUGCCCAGAGUGGCUGGGGAAACCCAGCCAGAUGGGCGGGGUAUAAAUAAUAGUAAAUUGUUGUUGUUGUUUACUUCUGUACUGCCUGCACUGACUGUCAGGGGCUCUCCGGUCCUUCAAACGCAGUGAGUUUCCCUCAGCCCUACCUGGAAAUGCCAGAGAUUGAACCUGAGACCUUCUGCGUUCAGCGCUGAUGCUCUACCCAUGAGCUCCAUCCCUUCCCCAGCCUCAUCCAUCUCUGACAAAGCCUGUCCCUUGAAUCAAAGCCAUCACCUCCUCGCUUCCACUGGCCUAGUUUGCAAAUCAGGGCACUGUGCAGAGUUCAACAGGAAAGCCGGCCAGCGCCCUCGAGCUGUUUCACCGCAACGUACGCCCUGUGCUUUCCAUCUGUUCCUCGGCGCUGAAAGAGCCUGACAUUUUAGGAGAAGAUUUAUAAAGAGAAACAAGGAAAUUAACCUCCAUGGAGCAGCCCUGCCUUUAUGAUUAAAAAGAAACCUCAGGCGAUACCGUCAGCUGCCGUGCACGGCUAUAGGUAGCGCAGGAAGAGGAAAUAAAGUGAAGGGAACAGGCGCAGGCAGCAGCCACAGCUGUGUGAGUAGGUGUGCGGGGAACAGCGAGUUCUGCAGCUUAAUCAUCUCUGGAAGAAAAGAAAAACCACAGGUCAGAACAUGUCUGGCUAAGAUGAAGGAGAGGCGAAAACAAGAACUACAGAGACCGGGCUGUCCACUGUGUCACGGGCUCCCUUUUCCUCUACCACAUAUUUUCCCUCCCAGCAUAUUCUUGGAAGCAAACUUCAGCCAGAAACUGUAUUGCCUGUGCAACCCUGACAGCACCUAGGCGACAAUUAUUCACACAAUCAAUGUUCUUGUUCAAAAACAAUUUUUCACCAUUUGUCUUUUUUUUUAAAAAAAAAAAUGAUAUUUAUUAAGAAUUUUAAAAUUACAAGAAAAACAAAAAGAAAAAAAGAGAAAAAACAAAAGAAAAACAAACCACAAUCAAGCAAUACAAAUUGAUAAAAAUCAAAAUCAAAAAGUAACAACAAAACACGUAACACAAGACAAUCAAAAAGCAAAAAUAAACCACAAAAAUUUAAAAACAAAUCCAAUAUUCCAAAAUCCUUAACUGUCAUUGCCUUAUUUCAUCGACCUCCUCACUCCUCCCUUUUUUGUAUCCUAGUUGUUAAUUAUCACAGCAAAUCCUUUCCAUUUUUCAUAAUAUUCUGUCAUUAAAUUACCUUAAUCUAUUUUAACCUUAUCUUACUAUAAAAGACCCUAAAACUUAAAACUUAGAUCUUAUUUAUACCAGUUCCUCAUAACCAUAACAUAUUCUUACAUAAUUCUUUUAACAUUUUUGCUAAAGCCAAAUGAUUUCGUUCCAACAUUUUUCUAACAUUCAUCAAUUUUAUAAAACAAUCCUAAUAAAAUUUAUUUUUUUAAAAAAAAAAACUUGCUUCCAAUCUUCAUCCAGCGUCUCUUCCUCCUGGUCCCGGGUUUUGUCAGUCCUUUCUAUCCCAUCAAUCUAGCUCAUUAACCUGGUAAUCUUAUGUCCGAGGCCCUUAAGUCUCUUCCAUGUCCCUUCCGCAGCUCUUCUUCAUAUUUAUACCUGUACUUUACUUUGUCUCCUGCUCCUUUCACUCGUGGAAACUCCAACUUGACAGUGUUUUUGACCCUUCUCGACAAAUCAGCCCCUUUUCCAUAGUCCACACUAAACUCCAUGUGGUAUUUAAAAACAUGUUUCAAAGUCCCUCCAGAAUUAAGAGCCCCCACAGCCCCAAACAUCUCACGGCCCAUUGCCAGACUUGGAAAGUCAAAACAUCCCUGCAUAGGGGGGUCUAUCCAACCCCCCAUUUCCAAACCAAACAAAACUCUAUCUCUCCAAGCCUGGCUUUUUCCAAGUUCAUUUGUCAAAUCCAACAACUCAUGUUCCUGCUGGGCCACAGCUCCCUCCAUCUCUGGCACCCAAGGUCCAGCAACAUCCUCUUCCCUCAUCUGAUCUGUCAGAGCACACUCCUGAUUUGAUUCCUGGGUGGGUUCUAUAUAGUUACCCACUACCUGUCCAAAAUUUCUGAUCGCAACAGUCAUCAAGUCCGUCUUCUCAUGUAACUGUUCCAAUAGGGCACUUGUUUUGCAGAAAGCACGCACCAGAGCUUCUGAAUACAUUGUUAUACAAGGUCAGAAGUCUGUUCCCACGAUCGUAAUCUGUUGCAGCUGCAGAGCUCCCCGAUUUAGAUUUAGUAACAGUUUCACAGGCUCCUCUAGGGGAAGAACUUCUAUUUGAUCUUUUCUUUUAAAAGUAGAUCUAGCAACAAAGUUUCCUUUUUCAGAUAUUUUGUCAAUAUUUGUUCCUUUAAAAUGUGAAGGAGAACGAUGGAAUCACUAUGUUUCUCUUCUUUUAACUGUCUGUCAAAGACGUUUGUCUAUGGUCAAUGAACUUCCCAAAGAACGUCAGUCCUGACACCCCGCUCCCAGGUCCGAGACGGUGGAAAAUUACUUUUCUUUACACUCUCUUCUGCAGGUUUAACCAGUCCGGAAAAAAUCCCCCCUCUUCUCCUGCUUCCGAAGGGGUUCAACAAUUUUAAAUGAUGAAAGUUAAUCCUUUACAAACGAUUUUCUGAACUCUAGUUUGCCAUGUCUUUGCUUUAAUCUAUCUACAAGAAACGGAAGGCUGACUUCCUGUUUAGACCUUCCCGUUUCAGUGCCAAAUUGAGAAGAAUUUCUUAGUCCAAUUUUCCUUUCUACUCGCAGGUCAUUAUUUAAAGUCCAAUUGUUCGAAAUUGAGCUACUCAUGGGUAAUUGUUUUAAAAGCCAAAUUGUCCCAGGAAAAAGGCAGCGCUCUCCGGCAACGGCUAUGCGGCUUCGCUCCACGGAAGAAGCAGUUGACUCUCAGCACCGCGCCACUUGCCCCUCUUCGCUCCGGAGCCCGUAACUGGGUUCCUUUACAAGUUGGGGGGGGCGCGAAAGGUGCCCGCCGAGUCCCAUGGUCACAGGCUUCAUCCGCCUGUGAUUUUUCGAAGGGUCCCUGCUUCGCCAUAGCGGGAAAGACCCGUUUUCCGUGGAGCCAGUCCCUCCGGAUCAGAGGGAGUCCGCCAUUACCGAUGGCGCCACCCCGGAAGUCCAAUUUUUCACCAUUUGUCAGAUUUGUGAGAAUAAGACAACUACUUACAAAGAGCCGUGAAAACUUAUAAGCUAUCUAAAAUAAACUGUAUUGCCGGCACAGCUUGUAAUUUAGAGCACCAUCAAGGUGCAUCCUAAAGUGAAGGCAAACUUAGAAGAUCUUGCUUGGAACCACGUGGGGAGUGAUCAGACGUAAGAGGGCUGAAUGUUGUUGUUGUUAAUCACUAUUAGUAAUUAUUAUUAAUUAUUACGAUUAAUUAUUAUUGUAAAAUAGGAUUCUAAGGAAUUUUCAAGCAUAAGAACUAGUUGUACGCACAUUUAAAUACAAUAAUGUGGCAUUGCCUUUAAAUUUCCGUGGCUGAAACAUAGAAUCAUAGAAUCAUAUGAAACGCUUUUCUUGUCAUGAUUUUCGUAUGGUGGUUCUGCUCCUGUUUCAGUACGUAUAACCAAGUUCACCUCGACAUUAGGAAGAACGUUCUGAUGGUGAGAGUUGCUUGGCAGUGCAGCAGAGUAACUCGGAAGCUGGUGGGGCUUUUGAACGGAGGUCGGAUGGCCAUCUGAUAGGGAUUUAUUUAGCUGUGAUUCCUGCAUUGCUGGGGGUUGGUCUAGAUGGCCCUUGGGGUCCCUUCCAACUCUGCAUUUCCAUGGUUCUAUGAUUAUACAUACAAAACACUUGGGGAAGAACAAGUGGUGUCGAAGGAAAUUCUUACAACACUGUUUAAAAUAUAAAAAUAUAAGCAUUCCAAAGUUCAAUAUGCAAUAAAGCAAUCCCAUUAAACCAGCACAGUCAUUAAAACAGGGGGCUCAGGUGUCACGCUUCGGGGAAAUGGCUUCCUCCCCCAUGGCAGUAAAUAAGAAGAUCAAAUGAAAGGAACAUCUUACCAGUUAGAUUCACAGUGAGAGAGAAAAAGAACAUGUCUCCCUAGAAAUAGCAGUGCUCCCAAUUAAGGCUCACUAACCCCCUCUCCGUCCCUAUUAAUCUACGUCACUCCUGCGUCUUGUAAUCUGAGUUUGUACCCUCUGCGCUGUCUGUUCUCACACUUUCAGAGCUCUCUGUGUCUUUGGGGAAGGGGGGUUUGAAUGCUGUCCAGAGACUGUGAAUCUGUUAACACUCUCUCUCUUCCAGUGUUUCGUCUCCUAGCUGUUCCCUAUCCAGUAUUUCCCAGCUUCUGCCUUCUGAACUAUGCCCCUCUGCAAACCACUGUUCCAAAUCUAUACUGUCCUCCCGCUCCUGGGAAGUUUCAGAAUCAGGGGGAGGGGGUGGCUCCCAACACUCUUCCUCAGUACUCCCUGACAUCAGGUUAAGAGACCAAGGGAACCCCUGUGCAAAAACAGCACAUCUUCAGAAGCUGGCAGAAUGCCAAUACUGAUGAAGCCUCUGGCAUUUCAGCAGGAAGUGUAUUCUACAACAGUGGUGCCAACAGUGGCAAAGCCAAUCUCUGUGUCAACGCAAGCCGGUAUUCACUAGGAGGUGGCAAAACUUUCCAAGUUCCAUGUGGAAUGGGCUUCGAACGGUUGUGUUUUCAAGUCACUGUUAUGCCACAAACUGCAUAUGUGGAUUGGGACCUAUCCUAACCUCCUAGGAAAGUUUUCAGGAGAGAGAGAAAGGGGGAGGGGAGUUACAGAGCCCUUUGCACCCAAGAAGAAUGCCAGCAUAAGGAGAAUCAUGCUGGACCAGACCAAAGGCCUGGCUAGUUCAGCAUCCUCUUUCCCCUGAUGGCCAGUCGGAUGCCCCCUGGGAAGCCCAUGAGGAAGACAUAAGCAAAAUAGUCCUUUUCAACUUGUGACCCCCAGAAACUGGUAAUACAGCUUCCGAACUUAGAGCUUGUAUAUAGCUUGUAUAUAGCAAUAAAGGUCCGUAUAGUUAAAGCUAUAGUUUUCCCAGUAGUGAUGUAUGGAAGUAAGAGCUGGACCAUCAAGAAGGUUGAUCGCCGAAGAAUUGAUGCUUUUGAAUUGUGGUGCUGGAGGAGACUCUUAAGAGUCCCAUGGACUGCAAGAAGAUCAAACCGAUCCAUUCUUAAGGAAAUCAGCCCUGAGUGCUCACUGGAAGGACACAUCGUGAAGCUAAGGCUGCAAUACUUUGGCCACCUUAUCAGAAGAGAAGACUCCCUGGAAAAGACCCUGAUGUUGGGAAAGAUGGAGGGCACAAGGAGAAGAGGAUGACAGAGGAUGAGAUGGUUGGAUAGUGUUCUCGAAGCUACCAGCAUAAGUUUGACCAAACUGCGGGAGGCAGUGGAAGACAGGAGUGCCUGGCAUGCUCUGGUCCAUGGGGUCAUGAAGAGUCAGACACGACUAAACAACUAAACAACAACAACUUAGCAAUAAAGGCACUGGUAGCUAUAUCUCCCAGAAAGAGGGAUGGCAGAAAAAUUCACCUUGCUUGCUUUUAGAGAGUUUUAUUAGACUAUAGCAUUCCUACCAACAAGGCGACUUUGAAAGCCUGAUAUAAUUUAGCUCGUAGCCUGGACAAACUGAUCCACAUUUCAGCUUGUUCUGAGGGGGAGGCACCAGGUGUGUGCAAAGAAAGCCCAUUGAUUGGGGCGAGGAACCUUUGGCUCUGCAGAUGUUGCCGAACCACAAUUCCUGCCAUCCCUGGUCAUUAGCACUGUGUGCUUUGCCUGAUAGGAGUUUGUAGUUCAGCAGCAUCUGAAGGACUAAAUGUUCCCCACUCCCUCCAAAGCGUAAAGACAGGUGCUGUACUCUUCACUUCGGUCACAGUGGGUUCCUCACCUGCUGCGCAAAACCAUGAUUUCACAACUUGCCCUGCGGGUGUGCUUGUCUUAAGAGUCAAAGGCUGAGUCAGCUCUGAGGCUCAGACCAGCUGUCCAUUUUUCCAGCGUGUACAUAUCCUUAUACGGCAUGUGUGCAUCUUAAAACACAGUUAUGCUUUGUCUCAUCAAUGACUUACACUGUCUGGGAAUUGGGAGUGGGUGUCAUGCUAAUGGUCACAGGUGCUAGCCAAUAGGUGCCCACCUAAGCUGCUUUACAUACCUGCACCCCCUGAAACACUCGCUUGGAAUAUUAUAUCUGACUCAGGUUGCAUAGGUAAAGGUAAAGGGACCCCUGACCAUUAGGUCCAGUCGUGGCCAACUCUGGGGUUGCGGUGCUCAUCUCACUUUAUUGGCCGAGGGCGCAGGCAUACAGCUUCCGGGUCAUGUGGCCAGCAUGACUAAGUCGCUUCUGGCGAACCAGAGCAGCGCACGGAAACGCCAUUUACCUUCCCGCCGAAGCGGUACCUAUUUAUAUACUUGCAUUUUGACGUGCUUUCAAACUGGGACCGAGCAAUGGGAGCUCACCCCGUCGCAGGGAUUCGAACCGCCGACCUUCUGAUCAGCAAGUCCUAGGCUCUGUGGUUUAACCGUGUUCCUGAAACACUCACUUGGAAUAUUAUAUCUGACUCAGGUUGCAUAGGGGCCUCCAAACAUUAUUCCAGAAUAAGUGAGAUACAUAAGGGGAGAUCUGGCCAUUUUUUAAAAAAUUUUUUUUAAAAGGUUCAAAAUAGCCAUGGGUUGAUGGUAGGGGACAACACUGAAGGAAUCAAGCUGGAGAAAGGAUCUAUAUAUUUUCAGCAAUAAGGCUGAUAAGCAAUUGUUUGGGAGGAGAAGUUUAUUUAGAUGGGGCAAAUGCCUUGAGCAGAAAGGUUGGACACCACUCUCUAGUAGCAAUAAUUUAUAAUAAUUUAGCACCACUCCCCCUGCCCUCACACAGAGAGAUUAUUUGAACGAAAGAUGUGGGAAUUCAAUCGCUUGUCUAGCUUAGCCCUAAAGACUAAGAAUUGUAGCAUGCCACUGCUUUAUACUCUAAAGGUAUUUAUUUUCUCAAAGUAUUUAUACCACGGGUAGGCAACCUAAGGCCCAGUGGCCGGAUGAGGCCCAAUUGCCUUCUAAAUCUGGCCAGCGGAUGGUCCGGGAAUCAGCGUGUUUUUACAUGAGUAGAAUGUGUCCUUUUAUUUAAAAUGCAUCUCUGGGUUAUUUCUGGGGCAUAGGAAUUCAUUCAUCUUCCCCCCCCCAAAAAAAAAUAUAGUAUGGCCCAUCACAUGGUCUGAGGGACGGUGGACUGGCCCAAGGCUGAAAAAGGUUGCCGACCCCUGAUUUAUACCCUUCUUUUUGGCCAGAAAGCUCCAGGGGCAGCUUGGAAAAUAACAAGCAAACAAACAAACAAACAAACAAACACCACGUCCCACUCUUUGGUUUUCAGUCCUUAAAAGGCUCGGCACGAAAGGAAAAAGGGAUGGGGAGGAAAGAGGAAAACAAGCAAACGGAGGCACCACCACAUUCUUAAUGCUACAAGAAAGGUAGCCUGUGAUUAUAGGCCCUCCCUAAUUCAGAAGAACACAGAACUUGGCGUGCUUGAAAAUAUACAGAGGUGUGCAAUACAUUACCUAAAAGAAGACAACUCUAAAGUAAGGUGCAACCUCAUUGCUACUCCAGAAAAGCAAUGGAAGCCUUUGCAUAUUUUCCCCGUUGAGUUUUACGGAAGAGCAAGCUUGUCUCAUAGGAAAUGCAACAGGUAAUUCUACCUCCUACACAGUUAUUUGAUUCGGGGGGGUGGGGUGGGGAGAACAAAAUUUCUAUUACAGGAAUAAUAUACCAGGGAGCUACUGGUGUGGAGAAACAAGCAACACGAGGAAAAUAAAAGCACUGAUUUUCUUUUCUUUUCUUUCAAGGUAAAAUAAAACCCACCCUCAAAAUGGCACAUUAACAGCUGAGGCAGAUGCGGUGAGAAGAAGGUGGGUAAUCCCUUGGCAGAAAUCACAAUAGUCAAUUCCUCCGAGAGACAUUCCCCAUGUCUGUCAGCACGCCUGAGUGUCAUUUUAUAUAACAGCUAAUGAAAGGGGAUGUUCUCCUGUCUGUUAAGUUUCUAUACCAGGUGCAAACGGAGAUGAAAAUUACUUGCUAUUACGGAGUUACCUCCUCGAGUAGGCGAUCAAAAGUUAUGUUGGAAACAUUUGUCUGAUUAAGGCCCCACGCGGCCGCAACAUAAAUUUCAAGUGCUAUGAUGCCACUUCUGCAACUGUGGCAUGCUGCAAAGGAUUCUGGGAGCUGUAGGGUUGGAGACACUCUGACUCCCCUCGCAGAGCUACGAUUCUCACCGUAUCAAGCCGUUUCCGGGAACUCUGGGAUAUGAAGCUCUGUGAGGGGGAUACAUAUAAGGAACGUGGGUGGCGCUGUGGUCUAAACCACUGAGCCUCUUGGGCUUCCUGAUCAGGUUCGAAUCCCCGCAACGGGGUGAGCUCCUGUCGCUCCUGUCGCUCUGUCCCAGCUCCUGCCAACCUAGCAGUUUGAAAGCACGCCAGUGCAAGUAGAUAAAUAGGUACCGCUGCGGUGGGAAAGUAAACAGCGUUUCCAUGCGCUCUGGUUUCCAUCACGGUGUCCCGUUGCACUAGAAGCGAUUUAGUCUUGCUGGUCACAUGACCCGGAAAACUGUCUGUGGACAAAUGCCAGCUCCCUCGGCCUGAAAGCGAGAUGAGCGCCACAAUCCCAUAAUUGCCUUUGACUGGACUUAACCGUCCAGGUGUCCUUUACCUUUUACCUUACAUAUAAAUGAAGCAAAGAGAGCAGGUACAUGGCACUCAGCCACACCUAUUGCUGAUGGACACCUUCCUUAUUUCCCAGAAAGCAUCAGAGCAAGGGCAGGAAGAAUAGGCC